CAUUUGAUAUUACACCACGCAAUUUUAGGUACUAAAUAAUUUAACAUUCUAAGUAAUGUUAGAAAAUAUAGAUACGUGGCAAUAUUUCAAAUAACAUAAAAAUUCCCUCCUCCGUUUCGAAGCUGUGUUUUAUAUAUUUUAUGGGUGUUGCUAAAAAGCUAUAUAUAUUUAUAUUCAUCAACCAUUUUAAUCAAAUUGCUCUUAGGUAACACUUAUUUUGUCGACGACAAGUUUCUCUAAAAUACUUACGAUGAAUCAAAAUGUUUAUUGGCUGCUCAUUUUCGCCAAUUUAUUGUCGUUUUCGUUUCACAUAUUGGCACAAGAAGAUUACAUGCAAAUAGAUAGGAGGCGGGAUGUUAAUGAUAUAAACAUUAUCAGAUAUCUAGAGAAGCCACAAGUUAAUAAACGUAACGAACGACGUAAAUAUAGACUAAAGUGUGGUCAAAAAGCUAAAGAAGUUUUAAAAAACUGUUUGUACCAAACGCCGCUUGGAGGGCAUUGUGACAGAUUUAAGAAAUUUUUCCGUAAUUGCAUUGAAGCAACAAAUAAAAAGACCUGCCUCAUAGAGCAAGGACUGUGUAAACGGUUCAUACCUCGCUAGAACUAGUUUCAGUGCAGAAAAAUUAUUUCUUGUAACUAGAAUUGCUUUAUGCCAUUCCAUUUAGUGGUGUUUUAAGGUAACAUCCCUGUAAUGGGUAUAUUUAGGAACCUGAUCAAACUUAAUAUUUUAUCAAAGUACUCUAUUUAACUUAUUUAAUUGCAACUUUUCAAAGAAAAUAAUCACCAAGUUUAUAAAUUAUAAGCAUUUUUAUGUGAAUACCCCCUUCCAGAAAAUUGCCCCCCACCAAAGAAAGUUGGGGCAGGGGUAAUGAAUAUAUGUUUAUGAAAAAUGCAGCUUGGACUUUCAAUAUUAGUUUUUAUUAUGUUUCAAGACAUAUAUUCUGAUAACAAAAUAACAAUAAACUGUUCACAUGAUGUAUUUAUUUCUAUACCUUUAAAUAAUCUUCCAUAGCAAUCAAAAUAUGGAAAUUCCAUGACCAC